AUGUAUCCAUCAAUGGGGAGGCCACCUUCUAGUGAUGAGAAUGGCCUCAAGAAGGGUCCCUGGACUACUGAAGAAGACGAGAAGCUCAUGAGCUACAUCCAGAAGCAUGGCCAUGGAAGCUGGAGAGCCCUACCUCAACUUGCUGGCCUAUCCUUUUCAUCUGAGCCUGUAUGGUUUUUGGAACAGAAGGGAACCAGAUAG
rnacentral:rRNA from 1 species